rnacentral:rRNA from 1 species
CUACGGGCUGCUCCAGUGGGGAAUAUUGCACAAUGGAGGAAACUCUGAUGCAGCAACGCCGCGUGGAGGAUGACACUUUUCGGAGCGUAAACUCCUUUUAUAUAGGAAGAAGAUGACGGUACUAUAUGAAUAAGCGCCGGCUAACUCCGUGCCAGCAGCCGCGGUAAUACGGAGGGCGCAAGCGUUACUCGGAAUCACUGGGCGUAAAGGGCGUGUAGGCGGAUUAAAAAGUCAGAAGUGAAAUCCUAUAGCUUAACUAUAGAACUGCUUCUGAAACUCUUAAUCUAGAACAUGGGAGAGGUAGAUGGAAUUUCUGGUGUAGGGGUAAAAUCCGUAGAGAUCAGAAGGAAUACCGAUUGCGAAGGCGAUCUACUAGAACAUUAUUGACGCUGAGACGCGAAAGCGUGGGGAGCAAACAGGAUUAGAUACCCCUGUAGUC